GAUGAACGCUGGCGGUAUGCCUAACACAUGCAAGUCGAACGGGUGUCUUCGGACACAAGUGGCGGACGGGUGAGUAACGCGUGAGAAUCUGCCUUCAGGAUGGGGGACAACAGUUGGAAACGACUGCUAAUACCCGAUAUGCAGCGAUGUGAAAGAUUAAUCGCCUGGAGAUGAGCUCGCGUCAGAUUAGCUAGAUGGUGGGGUAAAAGCCUACCAUGGCGACGAUCUGUAGCUGGUCUGAGAGGAUGAGCAGCCACACUGGGACUGAGACACGGCCCAGACUCCUACGGGUGGCAG
rnacentral:rRNA from 1 species